rnacentral:rRNA from 1 species
UACAGAGGUGGCAAGCGUUGUUCGGAAUUACUGGGCGUAAAGGGCGCGUAGGCGGUCUUAUAAGUCUCGUGUGAAAUCCCUCGGCUUAACUGAGGAACUGCACGGGAUACUGCAAGACUUGAGAUCGGGAGAGGGAAGCGGAAUUCCGGGUGUAGCGGUGAAAUGCGUAGAUAUCCGGAGGAACACCGGUGGCGAAGGCGGCUUCCUGGACCGAAACUGACGCUGAGGCGCGAAAGCUAGGGGAGCAAACGGG